UACAGAGGGUGCGAGCGUUGUUCGGAAUUAUUGGGCGUAAAGGGCGCGUAGGCGGUUCGUUAAGUUGGAUGUGAAAACUCUGGGCUCAACCCAGAGCCUGCAUCCAAAACUGGCGGGCUAGAGUUCUGGAGGGGGUAGCGGAAUUCCUGGUGUAGCGGUGAAAUGCGUAGAUAUCAGGAGGAACACCGGUGGCGAAGGCGGCUACCUGGACAGAAACUGACGCUGAGGCACGAAAGCUAGGGGAGCAAACAGG
rnacentral:rRNA from 1 species